rnacentral:rRNA from 1 species
AACUAACGCCGGCGGCAGGCCUACACAUGCACGACUAACGCUACGCAAGGAGCGUGGCUUCCUGGUGAGUAACACGUGGGAAUCUUCCUAUCGGUACGGAAUAGCUCAGGAAAACUUGAGGUAAUACCGAAUACGGCAGCCGAGGGAAAGAUUUAUCGCCGAUAGAUGAGCCCGCGUCUGAUUAGCUAGUUGGUGGGGGAAUGGCAUACCAAGGCGACGAUAAGUAGCUGGUCUGAGAGGAUGACCAGCCACACUGUGACUGAGACACGGCCCAGACUCCUACGGGAGGCAGCAGUGGGGAAUAUUGGACAAUGGGCGAAAGCCUGAUCCAGCCAUGCCGCGUGAGUGAAGAAGGUCUUCGGAUUGUAAAGCUCUUUUGCCAGGGACGAUUAUGACGGUACCUGAAGAAUAAGCCCCGGCUAACUUCGUGCCAGCCGCCGCAGUAAUAC